rnacentral:lncRNA from 9 species
CCCCAGCAUCCCCACCCCUGGUCCUCUCAGGCUUGGGCAGCUCCCUCCCCACAGCGUAUGAGGGCUGGUCUGUGAGAACCAGCAGCAUAUGACAGAAGAGAUGGUACAUCACUUCUGAGAUUAGGUCAUAAAAGACACUUCCUCUCUUUUUGGGAUCAAUUGCUCUGGGGGAAGCCAGUGGCCAGGUCGUGAGCAGCCUUGUGAGAGAAGCCUCUUGGUAACAGCCUUGUGUGUGUGCCAUCUUGGAAGUGGCGCCCCCAGCCCCAGUCAAGCCUUCAGGUGAUGCAGCUCCAGCUGAGAGCCGGACUGAAACCACCUGGUUUCCAGACCCUCAAACACUAUGUGAGAUAAUAAGAGUUUGUUGUUUUAAGCUGCUACAUUUUGGGGUAAUCUGCGGCAAUGGAUAAGUAAUGCACAAUUUUAAACUGAGUUAGUAGCUUUUCCCACCAGGAAGUAAGGAGAAGGGGGGGAAGACAAAGGGGAUAGAGGACCAUGGACAGAGACACACUGCAGGGCCAUGACCUGCACAGAGUCCUACCUGGGACCCUGCAUAAGCGGAUCUGGCCAAAUGCACAGCCAACCAAUGGUCACUAAGGGUCUGGACAAGCAGAGAAGCACGGUCUGGCAGGGAAAGGAGACUUCUCCUUCCCCACUUCCCCCAAGGAGACCUGUGGAGCCAGCAUAAGGGGCUGGGAGGAGGAAGAGAAGGGGCAGUAAUAAACAAAGCCAUCUUCUGCUCGCCAAACCCAGCGAAGGGGCUCUCAACCAAAAUGUGCAGAAAAUAACAUCUCAACGGGAUGGAACAUUUCCUCGAAAUGAAACUAUUUUAAACUGGAAGUGGCUGGGCCGAGCUGAUAUUUAUAAGAUUGGGGCUAACUUCAGUUUUUCCACUGCUGAGCGUGAAUAGGUUUUUUUUUUAGAAAUAAAGAAGUGAGCUAUAAAAAUAAAGCAAACCUCGCUGGUGCAUGGCUAAGUGGCGACGCUUCGAUCGGAGCUGUUAGGUAAAUGAACAAUGAGAUCUGAGGUCUGGAUGCGCCUUCCUCUUGAGUGUUAAGCUGGCUGAGUCCCUCAUGCAGACACACGGCACCGUUUCAAGACCUUCCACAAUUAUCAAUGCAGACACUUUCAAAUUGUUUAGAAUCUCCUGCCUUUGUCAAGAGUAUUCCUUCUUAGAUUCUAGACCAGCUACCCAAAGGAACUUUCUGGAUGAUGGAAAUAUCCUCUGCCCGCGCUGUUCAAUAAGAUAGCCACUAACCACACGUGGCUACUAAGCUCUUGAAAGAUGGCCAGUGCGACUGAGGGACAGCCUUACACAUUUUAUUUAAUCCUAAUUAAUGUAAAUGUAAAUAGCCGCAUGUGGUGAAUACUCCUGCACUGCCACACCAUUUUCUAGAUGAAGUUGUACCUAAUUCUUUCUAUUGAGAUUUUAGACAUCUGGUUUCCUAAAUUUGGGGGGGGGUGGAAUUUGCUGUUUAUUUGCUAUUGCAAACUCCAAGACAACACUAUCACUUUGGUUCAGGGUUUCUGACACUUCCACACCACCCACUAAUUCUCCCUGCUAUCUUCUCAGAAUCAAAGUUAGAAUAACGUUGGCAAUAACGUUCACAUGGAAAUUUUGAGCACAGACUGGAUAUCUGAUAAUAUGAAAGAAUGACUGGAAUCUAAGAAAAUGAUAGAAACAAAAUUAUUUGCAAAAGAGAAAUAGACUUACAGACAUAGAAAACAAAAUUAGGGUUAGCAAAGGGGAAAGCUCGCAAGAAGGGAUAAAUGAGGAGUUUGGGAUUCAUAUAUACACACUACUAUAUUACAAAACAGAUAACUGUCUAGCACAGAGAACUCUACUCAGUAUUUUGUAAUAACCUAUAUGGGAAAAGAACCUGAUAAUGAAUAUGUGUGUGUAUAAAACAGAAUCACUUUGCUGUACACCUGAAACUAACACAACAUUGUAAAUCAACUAUACCUCAAUUAAGAAUUUCUAAAAUUUAAUACUGAAAUAUUUACAGUUAAAAUGACAUGGUAACUGUGAUUUGCUUUGUAGAUAAUGGAUGGGAGUGGAUGGAGGAAACAAGAUGGGUUGAUAAUUGUAGCUGUGUGAUGAAUUCAUGGGCAUCCUUUCGAUUAUUCUGUCUACAUUUUUGGGGGGGGGCUUUUUUAGGGUGAGACCCGAGGCAUAUGGACAUUCCCAGGCUAGGGGUUGAAUAGGAGCUACAGCUGCUGGUCUACACCACAGCCACAGCAGAUCCAGUCCACGUCUGCAACCUACACCACAGCUAAUGGCAACACCGGAUCCUUAACCCACUGAGCAAGGCCAGGGAUCGAACCCGAAACCUCAUGAUUCCUAGUCAGAUUCGUUUCUGCUGUACCACGACGGAAACUCCUGUCUACAUUUUUUUUAACUUUAGGAGUUUUUUCUUUUUUUUUUUUUUUUUUUCUUUUUAGGAAUAUGGAAGUUCCCACGCUAGGGGUCUAAUUGGAGCUGCAGCUGCCAGCCUACACCACAGCCACAACUCAUGGCAACGCUGGAUCCUUAACCCCUGAGCGAAGCCAGGAUGGAACCCGCAUCUUCAUGGACACUAGUCAGGUUCAUUACUGCUGAGCCACAACAGGAACUCUGACUUUAAGAGUUUUUAACAAAAUGAGAAAGUGCUCACAUCGUAAUAUCAAGUAGAAAGAAAAAGUGAGCUACAAAAUGAUAAAUAUACAAUAAAAUAAGGAAUUUAUAUAAACGGAAGGAAAUACAUAGGAUAGCAUAGAAGUUGGGAACAGAUGUCUGGGUUCAAAUUCUGUCUGUGAAAUCUAUGCGGCUUAGGGAAUUUUUUUUUUUUAAGUUUUGUUAAACCUCAGUCUCCCCAUCUACAAAAUGAGGAUCAUACUAGAAUAUAUCUUUUAAAACUGCUCUGGAGACUAGACGAGCCUAUUUAUGAAAUGCUUAGCCAGCAUCUGGCUUGCAGUACAAGUCCUAUCGCUUACAUCUAGAAAUAGAUUUAUACGUGGUUGUUGUUGCACCACUCUAUUAUCCAAUUUUCCAUAAAACGGAUGUCUUAUAUUUUCAGAGGGGAAAUUUAAAAAAAUUAUUUUAAAAACCAGCUUCUUCUAUGACUACUACUGUGUUCUGAGAAACUAUUAGCAAAGUAAGUUAAUAAUUUAUCAGAUGUUCUAAACUUCAGCAAAAGGAGAAUUCCAGUCUAUGUCUGGAUACGUGGAAUUCUCCGUAAGAACCGUAUUUUGUGGUCUGUGUGACAUGUUUCAGGAAAGCAUCCUCGGGAAGCUUCGUCUCAUGGGGGAUGAAGGAGGGGGGAGUAGCGACUGGUUUCUGUGGUUCUCAUUCCUGACUCAAAAGCUCUCCACACUGAUGGACAGAUGAUGCUGCAGAAUUUCCCCUUCUAUUAGAACAUGCAUUUUUUCAAGCAACAGAUAUCAUUCCACUGUCACUUUCUAGUUAGGAAUCCCCUCCAAGUGACAGUGAUGUUUAUGAAGCUGUAUUUUUCUUCUUUCAGUAACAGGAAAAUCUUGCCUUAUGCAUUCCCUGUGCCCUUUGCAUCAAGAAAUAGACACACAAGACCAUAAAUAAAGUUCUGGCCCAGCUGUCUUUAUUUUUGCUCAAGAAGAAUAGCACUGUCUCUGUUACCCUGUUCCUGUCUAUAUAACAGGGACUAUUUUCCAUUUUCUCCUAUCAGUGGUAGCAAGUCCACAGAAACUACAUUAAACCAGAGAGGGGGAGAGAGAUCGGCGGGGGCAUUGAGCGGGAGGUAGAAUACUGGUUCACAUAGCUAAGACGUUCAAGAAGCAGGGUUAGCUGCAAACAUGGUUAAAUCCAGGUGCUCUAACGUUUUCCGGAAUUUCUCUCUGACAUUAGGCACAGCUUUCUGCUAUGUUGACUCCCUUCUCUGUCUCAUUCAGGAACGGAGGCAUCCAGCAGCUCCAAGUUUAUCAUCUACCAUCUCAGCCACUCUACUUGAGAAAGAAGAUGCACCUCACUCCCAAUCAUUUGAGCAAAGUCCUGGCAGUAACUCUUGUUGAUCCCGAUCUGAUCACGUAGCCGAGCUCCGAGGCAGUCUUUGAGGUUUUGAUCGACUUCUUCUAGAGCCAAAGGAUGGGACCAACUCCCUUUAGCCACAGGACUAUGCGUAGCAGGCAGACGGUUUCCCUUCAGAGAUAAAGAGGCUGUUAAGUUGGCACAUGGAUGCUGGGCAGACGACAACAGCAGCUGUCCCCUCCGCAUCCCGUAACAACCUUUUCAAAUGCCCUUUGAUGCCAUCGGGAAAUCUCCUGCCAAACACAUUCUUCCCUGUCUUUGUGACACUCUCCAGCCUUUGCCAGUGGCCUCCUGUUCCAGUAUCUUGGGCUCUUUCCAAGGAAAUGAAACCCUCGUCAACACCAUCAACAUCACCAGCUGUUCCCCCCAGUACCCUCUCCUUUCUCUUCCAAAGUCACAGCCCUCAGCUGGAUGAAAGAGAGAAGACCACCUGUAUCCUCAAAUCCUUCAAAGUCUUUCUCAGAACUUUAAAACUUCCAGGAGUUCCCAUCGUGGCGCAGUGGUUAACGAAUCUGACUAGGAACCAUGAGGUUGCGGGUUCAAUCCCUGCCCUUGCUCAGUGGGUCAAGGGUCUGGUGUGACGUGAGCUGUGGUGUAGGUCGCAGACGCGGCUCGGAUCCCGCAUUGCUGUGGCUCUGUUGUACGCUGGCAGCUACAGCUCCGACUGGACCCCUAGCCUGGGAACCUCCAUGUGCCGCAGGGAGCGACCCAAGAAAUGGAAAAACAAAACAAAACUUCCAGAGACAUAGUUCAGAUUUCUUUUGACUGCACCAUUUAUCUGCACGUGAAUCAGAAGUAGCAGCCCAUGGUUGGAGAUUCUGCACAAGUAUCCCAUCACAUCUUCUCUCUGUGCUCCAGAUCAAAGCGUGAACCUUGCUCCUCCCAGCGUGCCACAUCUGGUCUCAGAAGGGAGUCACCCUAUUCUGAGAAUGGACAAGUCUUUUCUCCACUCAGCUGUGGCUGCUUCUUCAAUAUGUGUCCACUACAUGUUCAAUGAUGCAUGUCCUGCUUUCACCCUUGCCCAUCCAAAGUGCCCUUAAAAAACAAACAAACAGGAGUUCCCAUUGUGGCGCAGCAGAAACGAAUCCGACUAGGAACAUGAGGUUUCGGGUUCGAUCCCUGGCCUCGCUCAGUGGGUUGGGGAUCAGUGUUGCUGUGAGUUGUGGUGUAGGUUGCAGACGUGGCUCAGAUCCCACGUUGCUGUGGCUGUGGUGUGGGCCGGUGGCUACAGUUCCAUUAGACCCCUAGCCUGGAGCCUCCAUAUGCCGCGAGUGUGGCCCUAAAAAGACAAAAAAAGACCACCCCCCAAAUUUGUGAUUCCUACAAGCCAGGAAGAGAGCUCUCACCAGGAACUGGAUUGACAGAUACCUUGAUCUUAGACUCCCAGCCUCUAGAACCGGAAGGAGGAAGUGUCUGUUGAGUAAGCUAUCCAGUCUAAUAAAGCAUCUUAUUCCAGCAGACUGGGCAGACUCAGGCACCACCCUCCCUUUCCCAGCCGUCCCUUCGGUCAUCUGGAACAUGGCGAUGUUCCCCUUGUCUGUCUCCUCUCCUUUUUCACAUGGCCGGCUCCUCCGUACUCACUGUAUCUGGUAGAACAGGCUAACAAAGAUCCCAGAGUGCAGCGGCCUGGAGAGUGUACGUUUCCUUUUGUCCAUGUAGCAGUUCUGAGAUGAGCCGUCCAGGUGAAUGGGAAGCUCUGUUCCUUGCGGUCAUUCAGAAACUCAGAUUCCUUCCAGCUGCUGCUCUGCCAGCCUCCAGGCCCUCAAGGUCAUCUGCGUGACAGAGCUGGGUCACCACUCAACUGAGCAGGACCUCAUGGGGCCUCCUCAGGGCAGGCCGUUCCCCCCUAUCCUCCGCUUUAGCUCCUUUCUGAAGGAUAACAUGUGUCUUGUUGGAGGCUUACAGGAACACUGCGACCUGACCUUUGUGGACAGCUACGACAACAAAGGAUUUCUGAAACCAAGAAGUUUGCAACAACCAACCAUGCCCCUACCUCUCCUUGCCUUGAAAAAUGCUUUGCAAUAUUGGUUUGGGGAGUUGGGGAUAUUUGGGGGGCAUAAGCCACCCGUCUCCCUUCAUGGUCCUGCAAUAAACCGUUCUCUGAUCCAAACGCCAACAUUUCAGUCUGUUUGGCCUCACUGUGCAUCGGGCACACAGCCUCAUGCUGAUAACUACUACAUGUGGAUUCCAUCUGCAGGAAGGAGGAAGAAGGGUUGGAGAAGCCAGGCGGGACGCUUUGAAAUGCAGACCCAGAAGUGGUCCACGUUAUUUCCAUUCGUGCUGUUGGUGAUAACUUAGUCACAUGAUCACAGCUAACUACUGGGGAUGCUGGGAAAUGUAGUCCUUCGCUAAGCAGCCACAGGCCUGCCUGUUCUCUUAUAAUGGAAGAAUGAGUUUCAACAGAUAAUCGAAUUUCAGGGAAGGGAUGGACUGGGGCUCUGGGACUGGCAUAUGCACACUAUGGUAUAUGGAAUGACCGGCCACCGGGGACCCUACCCAAUAUUCUACGAUAAUCUAUAUGGGAAAAGAAUCUGAAAGAGAGUAGGUGUGUAUAUGCAUAACUGAAUCACUGUGCUGGGCAGCAGAAAUGCUCACAACAUAGCACAUCAACUCAACUUCAAUAAAACCUUUUGAACAUUAAAAAAACACAGCCCCCCAAAAACAAAAACAAAAAA